GGAGAAAACCCCUUUCAAUCUAAUGCAAAAAAGGAUCAAAAAUUGGGUGAAAUCUCCAUGAAUUUUCUUUUGCUUAUUUAAUCAUCCAUGAUUUCAGGAUCAAUUGACCACGAAGAUCAUUCAAUGAAUGAUACACAAGAUAUGGACACAAUGAAAAGAAAAUAUUGAGAAGUGAAUGACAUAUGUUAACGUUAGAUAUUUGUAUACGAAAAUAAGUAAUAGCAUUACAUAUGUAUAUAAAAUAAGGUGAUUUUAAAAAUAUAAAUAAUAAUGAGAGAAAGAAAUGAAAGAAUAAAGGUCAUAGAUGGAUACAUCAAAAAAAUUUCUUCUAAAUUUUGCUUGAGUGAGAAUGCUGUGAGAGCAAUGAGUGUGAAACUACUUCAAAAGUUUUGCUUUAGUUGGUUUUGGAUGUAGUAGAAAGAAACUAAUUAAGGAGGAAAAAAUGUAUUCUCUUUCGCUCCAUAUUUAUUGUACUAUAUAUAGUCUUAGUCUUUCCCUCCA